rnacentral:rRNA from 1 species
AAGAAUUUCGCCUCUAGAGGGGUCCAUGUGCUAUUAGCUAGUUGGUAGGGUAACGGCCUACCAAGGCUAAGAUGGCUAGCGGGUGUGAGAGCACGACCCGCGCCACUGGCACUGAGACACUGGCCAGACACCUACGGGUGGCUGCAGUCGAGGAUCUUCGUCAAUGGGCGCAAGCCUGAACGAGCGACGCCGCGUGAGCGAUGAAGGCCUUCGGGUUGUAAAGCUCGAAAGUGGAGAGAAAGGGAAACUUGAUCAAUCCACAGUAAGGACGGGCUAAGUUCGUGCCAGCAGCCGCGGUAAGACGAACUGUCCUAACGUUGUUCGGAAUCACUGGGCUUAAAGGGCGCGUAGGCGGUCCGACAAGUCAGGGGUGAAAUCCUGCAGCUUAACUGCAGAAGUGCCUCUGAUACUGUCGGUCUGGAGGGAGAUAGGGGUGUGCGGAACUUCCAGUGGAGCGGUGAAAUGCGUUGAUAUUGGAAGGAACGCCGGAGGCGAAAGCGGCGCACUGGAUCUCUUCUGACGCUGAGGCGCGAAAGCUAGGGGAGCAAACGGGAUUAGAUACCCUGGUAGUCC